rnacentral:lncRNA from 1 species
UUAAGUUGCUGUCCAAACAUUUUAGAAAUUUCUGCAGCAAGCCUUCUCAAUUUCACUAACCAAAUUUAGUCCUCUAGGUUUCCAACUUAUACCAAUCUACCAUUCCUCUUAUUCAUUACCAUAUCUACUUAAAUUAUAUCAUAACCCUACCCCGAAACCUCAGUUUCAUGUAUCUAUCAGAAAUCACCAUGGUUUAUAUCAUACAAGCACACUUUAAAGCAUUAGAAUUCUGCACUUCUUCUAAUAAUAAUAAACCAACCAAUCAACAGAAUUUCAGCAACAACAGUCUUAUCAACUCAUCACCUUCAAUUAGAAAUUGCAUCUAUCAAUUACCCAUAAUUCUAACUCUUAUCUCUUUUAAGGUUGAAAAUUCUAUUUUUACUUCUUUCCGGAAUCAGAACCCUAACCGUACGGAAUUGGAGCUUUGGCCUCUCUUCCAAGAACGAAUGGCCGACCUCAACUUGAACAAGGGAAGAGUUCUUGCUUAUGGUCACUACUGUUCUAGCAAGAAUUGGAAUUAGAAUGGUAGAGGUGGAAUAAAAGGGAAGAACAAAAUUUGAAUCUGAAGAAGAGGAAGAAGGAGAGUUGCUAGUUCUCACCCAGCAAAGAAGCUUCGAAGAUUCCGAGUGAUGAGAGGUGGGGCGCUUUCCUUCUUGCUGCGGAUGGCUUCUUCCUUCCUUUUCAGUUUCAUUUUGCUUUCCUUCUCUCUGUUCUUCUCCUUUGUUUGUGCAUGUUUUGGUUCAAAGAAAAUGAGAAGUACUAAAUUCAUUAAGUGGAAGAAAAAGAAGUGGGUGAGGCAGUGCAUAAGGCUUC